rnacentral:rRNA from 1 species
GACGAACGCUGGCGGCGCGCUUAACACAUGCAAGUCGUGCGGUACCGAUGGCAAGUCUUCAUGACGAGCCUUCGGUAUAGCGGCGGACGGGUGAGUAACACGUGAGUAGCUGUCCUAGGGAGGGGGAUAACGCCUGGAAACGGGUGCUAAAACCCCAUAAGCCUCGCAAGAGGUGAAAGUGUACUUGUUACAGCCUUAGGGUGUGCUCGCGGCCUAUCAGCUAGUUGGUGAGGUAAGGGCUCACCAAGGCUAAGACGGGUAGCCGGCCUGAGAGGGUGUACGGCCACACUGGAAUUGAGAUACGGUCCAGACUCCUACGGGAGGCAGCAGUGGGGAAUUUUGGGCAAUGGGCGAAAGCCUGACCCAGCGACGCCGCGUUGGGGAUGAAGUCCUUCGGGCGUAAACCCAUGUUGUAGGGGAAGAAGGAAAGUGACGGUACCCUACGAGAAAGCCCCGGCCGAACUACGUGCCCAGCAGCCGCGGUAAGAUAGCGUACU